rnacentral:lncRNA from 1 species
CCUGGAUAUGUUAUAGCUGGCACAGACGCAAAUUUUGUUCCUGGACGAAAAGGAGAGCCAGGAUCUUCAGGACCCCAGGGGCCUCCUGGUGUAUCAGGGGUCAAUGGCGCUCCAGGCCUACCUGGCCAGCCAGGACCAACAGGGUCACCAGGAAUAUCUGUCAAGGGAGAUCCUGGGGAGGUGGGAGCAAAAGGUUUACGUGGGAAGCAGGGCGUGAAAGGAGACAAAGGAGAG